AACGAACGCUGGCGGCAUGCCUAACACAUGCAAGUCGAACGAGACCUUCGGGUCUAGUGGCGCACGGGUGCGUAACGCGUGGGAACCUGCCCUUAGGUUCGGAAUAACUCCCCGAAAGGGGUGCUAAUACCGGAUAAUGUCUUCGGACCAAAGAUUUAUCGCCUUUGGAUGGGCCCGCGUUGGAUUAGCUAGUUGGUAGGGUAAAAGCCUACCAAGGCGACGAUCCAUAGCUGGUCUGAGAGGAUGAUCAGCCACACUGGGACUGGGACACGGCCCAGACCCCCGAGGGAUGGGGGCAGGGGGGAAAAAGGGACAAGGGGUGAAAGCCUAACCCCACAAGGCCGGGGGGGGGAUUAAGGGCUUAGGGUUGAAAGGCUUUUUACCCCGGGAUGAUAAUGAGAGAACCGGGAAAAAAGCCCCGGGUAACCCCGUG
rnacentral:rRNA from 1 species